rnacentral:rRNA from 1 species
AUUGAACGCUGGCGGCAGGCUUAACACAUGCAAGUCGAACGAGUGGCGGACGGGUGAGUAAUGCUUGGGAAUCUGGCUUAUGGAGGGGGAUAACGACGGGAAACUGUCGCUAAUACCGCGUACCAUAGGAUGAGCCCAAGUGGGAUUAGGUAGUUGGUGGGGUAAUGGCCUACCAAGCCGACGAUCUCUAGCUGGUCUGAGAGGAUGACCAGCCACACCGGGACUGAGAAACGGUCCAGACUCCUACGGGAGGCAGCAGUAGGGAAUAUUCGGCAAUGGACGCAAGUUGACCGAGCAACGCCGCGUGAAUGAAGAAGGUUUUCGGAUCGUAAAACUCUUUUGUUAGAGAAGCGUUAUCUAACCAGGAAGCCACGGCUAACUACGUGCCAGCAGCCGCGGUAAUUC